UACGUAGGGUGCAAGCGUUAAUCGGAAUUACUGGGCGUAAAGCGUGCGCAGGCGGUUUUGUAAGUCUGUCGUGAAAUCCCCGGGCUCAACCUGGGAAUUGCGAUGGAGACUGCAAGGCUAGAAUCUGGCAGAGGGGGGUAGAUUCCACGUGUAGCAGUGAAAUGCGUAGAUAUGCGGAGGAACACCGAUGGCGAAGGCGCUCACUGGCCCGAUACUGACGCUGAGGCA
rnacentral:rRNA from 1 species